rnacentral:lncRNA from 1 species
GAGGAGCAAAUGAGGUGAGAAAUAAUUCGAGAGUAGAGUAUAUGAGAGGCAGAGGGAAGAGGAUCGGUCAAAACAUAGUUAGGACUAGGCAUGGUGAAGUUUGGGAGUAGGUUCACUCGCGAUGCACCAAAAAUCAGAAUUAGUAUCAGCAAUGGUAGAGUAAGACUUGGUGUCGGCUUAAGCAUGUGUCAUUAUUGAGGAAGUGGUUUAUGAUGCGAGUAGUGCAACCUGUGUGUGU